rnacentral:rRNA from 1 species
CUACGGAGGAUCCGAGCGUUAUCCGGAUUUAUUGGGUUUAAAGGGUGCGCAGGCGGCCGUUUAAGUCAGCGGUUAAAUCGUGGGGCUCAACCCCAUUCUGCCGUUGAUACUGGGUGGCUUGAUUGCGGUCGAGGUUGGCGGAAUUCGUUGUGUAGCGGUGAAAUGCAUAGAUAUGACGAAGAACACCGAUUGCGUAGGCAGCUGACCAGAUCGCAAAUGACGCUCAUGCACGAAAGUGCGGGGAUCGAACAGGAUUAGAUACCCUGGUAGUCCGCACAGUAAACGAUGAAUACUUGUUUUCGGCGAUAUAAUGUCGGAGGCAAAGCGAAAGCGAUAAGUAUUCCACCUGGGGAGUACGCCGGCAACGGUGAAACUCAAAGGAAUUGGCGGGG